AGGUUACUGCUAUCGAGGUUCGACUAAGCCAUGCGAGUCGAAUGUAGCAAUACAUGGCGUACUGCUCAGUAACACGUGGACAACCUACCCUUGGGACGGGGAUAAACCCGGGAAACUGGGUAUAAUACCCGAUAGAUCUCGAAAGCUGGAAUGCAUCGAGGUCGAAAGCUCCGGUGCCCAAGGAUGGGUCUGCGGCCUAUCAGGUAGUAGUGGGUGUAGCGUACCUACUAGCCUACGACGGGUACGGGUUGUGAGAGCAAGAGCCCGGAGAUGGAUUCUGAGACACGAAUCCAGGCCCUACGGGGUGCAGCAGGCGCGAAAACUUUACAAUGCUGGAAACAGCGAUAAGGGAACCUCGAGUGCCAGGUUACAAAUCUGGCUGUCGUGAUGCCUAAAAAGCAUUGCAUAGCAAGGGCCGGGCAAGACCGGUGCCAGCCGCCGCGGUAACACCGGCGGCUCGAGUGGUAACCGUUAUUAUUGGGUCUAAAGGGUCUGUAGCCGGCCGGAUAAGUCUCUUGGGAAAUCUGGCAGCUUAACUGUCAGGCUUUCAGGAGAUACUGUCUGGCUCGAGGCCGGGAGAGGUGAGAGGUACUUCAGGGGUAGGGGUGAAAUCUUGUAAUCCUUGAAGGACCACCAGUGGCGAAGGCGUCUCACCAGAACGGACCUGACGGCAAGGGACGAAAGCUAGGGGCACGAACCGGAUUAGAUACCCGGGUAGUCCUAGCCGUAAACGAUACUCGCUAGGUGUCGGCCACGGUGCGACCGUGGUCGGUGCCGUAGGGAAGCCGUGAAGCGAGCCACCUGGGAAGUACGGCCGCAAGGCUGAAACUUAAAGGAAU
rnacentral:rRNA from 1 species